CAUGAUGACAUCACUCCAGAUGGUAUCUUCCAGUUCUCAGGUCAAAACCUUUGAGUUAUGCUUAUGCAGCUAUUGAUAGGCAAUGGUAUGAUUAACUGGGGCCUUAAAGAUGAUGAAGAUAUGACAUUUACAAGGUGGACAGGCAUGAUUAUUGGGCCACCAAGGACAAAUUAUGAAAAGAGAAAGAAUAUAUAGCCUGAAAAUAGAAAGUGGACCCAAAUACCCAGAAGCUCCCCCAUCAGUUAGAUUUGUAACAAGAAUUAAUAUGAAUGGAAUAAAUAACUCCAGUGGGAUGGUGGAUGACCGCAGCACACCAGUGUUAGCAAAAUGACAAAAUUCAUAUAGCAUUAAAGUUGUACUUCAGGAGCUAAGACGUCUAAUGAUGUCCAAAGAAAAUAUGAAGCUUCCACAGCCACUGGAAGGACAAACAUACAACA
rnacentral:lncRNA from 10 species